rnacentral:rRNA from 1 species
GAUGAACGCUGGCGGCGUGCCUAAUACAUGCAAGUCGAGCGAACAGACGAGGGGCUUGCUCCUCUGACGUUAGCGGCGGACGGGUGAGUAACACGUGGAUAACCUACCUAUAAGACUGGGAUAACUUCGGGAAACCGGAGCUAAUACCGGAUAACAUGUUGAACCGCAUGGUUCAACAGUGAAAGACGGUCUUGCUGUCGCUUAUAGAUGGAUCCGCGCCGCAUUAGCUAGUUGGUAAGGUAACGGCUUACCAAGGCAACGAUGCGUAGCCGACCUGAGAGGGUGAUCGGCCACACUGGAACUGAGACACGGUCCAGACUCCUACGGGAGGCAGCAGUAGGGAAUCUUCCGCAAUGGGCGAAAGCCUGACGGAGCAACGCCGCGUGAGUGAAGAAGGUCUUCGGAUCGUAAAACUCUGUUAUUAGGGAAGAACAAAUGUGUAAGUAACUAUGCACGUCUUGACGGUACCUAAUCAGAAAGCCACGGCUAACUACGUG